rnacentral:misc_RNA from 1 species
CUCUCUCUCUCUCUCUCUCUCAAAUAACUCUUCUCAGCGCUAUUAAAUCACUUCAGCACCAAUCACAGAAAGGAUUACAAACUAAAAUAAUUCUCACAUCAAAGUUCAAAUUGCUCUCAAAAACAUAAGCAUGGUAUAUUAUUGAUCACUCUAGAGAAACUUGUAACAACCUGGUGGUAAACCAUGUGAAAGAGGGUGGAUAAACAAGAGCCAACAUUGUACUAGCAAGAACUACAUGAGGCAGAAGUGAAUUUGAUUGCUUCAAGAUAUCCACCACAGAAAACUUCUUCUGCUCAACCAUCUGAAAUGAGAAAUGCAGCAAGUAACAUCAACACGAGCCUGGAAACUAACAUCACACAUAUGGCAGUGAACACAAACUAGUGAAGUAUCUCUGCAAAGGAACAAAACACAUGCAAGUCUAAACAAGCAAAUAAAACAGGAAUCAGACUAAAUUUAAUUUCAGAUUUUGUGAUACCUUUCUCCUACUGAAUAACAUUAUUGUCAUCUGUUCAUGCACAGCCGCUCACACUCAUUGAUAUGUCCGAAAAAGAUAGUCUUUCCUGUUUUGUUAGCAUGUAUGUGGUUAACCCUCUAUACUUUACUAGAGAUUUUCUAAUUUUCUUUAUCAAUCCUACCAAGGAUCAUAAGAAAUGAAACCAUAAGGCAUCUGAGUAACAUCAGAAAUCGCAGAAACGAUAUUCCUACUAACCCAUAUAAUAAAAGAAUUCAAUUUGGUCUGCAAACUCUUAGGAAACUUAUGCACGUUAACUCUGUUAUCAAUCCAAUAAACAUGUGCGUACCUUAUUUUGUUCGGUUAUAGAAUUCUGACCUGGAUCCUGUUCGAAAGGAUCCGAGAACUUUCCUGGUAAGCAUCUGCUCAAUAAAAUUCUUGGGUUUCCAGCUACUACAACAUCAAUACAAACACACUCAUUUGAAAGAAAGAAACCCAUUGAAACCAUGCCGAGAAGAAUCAAUAAAACUAAAAAAAUGGAAACAAGGAUAAACUCAAACUCACACUUAGGUUGGGGGUUUAACUGAACUGAAAAACCCACAGAGCGCAACUCUGAACGCUCGUGGAAGCAUUUUCGAGUGAAAAGUGGAAGAGGAGUACAUUUCCGAACAUGGGGAUUGUUUUGGGUAUGGAAUUGAGAGAUAUACGGGCGUUGAAUCUGACAUUGCUUAGCGUUGAAACUCAUUUUUUUCUUGGUAAAUUCCAACCAGAGCGCAAAAUAAAGCUCCGGUGCGAUUGGGGGCUUUGAUGAAGAUUAGUGGUGGGAA